GACGAACGCUGGCGGCGUGCUUAACACAUGCAAGUCGAACGGAAAGGCCCUGCUUGCCGGGUACUCGAGUGGCGAACGGGUGAGUAACACGUGGGUGAUCUGCCCUCCACUUCGGGAUAAGCCUGGGAAACUGGGUCUAAUACCGGAUAGGAGCCAUUUUUAGUGUGAUGGUUGGAAAGUUUUUUCGGUGUAGGAUGAGCUCGCGGCCUAUCAGCUUGUUGGUGGGGUAAUGGCCUACCAAGGCGGCGACGGGUAGCCGGCCUGAGAGGGUGGACGGCCACAUUGGGACUGAGAUACGGCCCAGACUCCUACGGGAGGCAGCAGUGGGGAAUAUUGCACAAUGGGCGCAAGCCGGAUGCAGCGACGCCGCGUGGGGGAUGACGGCCUUCGGGUUGUAAACUCCUUUCGCUAGGGACGAAGCUUUUUGUGACGGUACCUAGAUAAGAAGCACCGGCUAACUACGUG
rnacentral:rRNA from 1 species